CCUACGGGGUGCUGCAGUGAGGAAUAUUGAGCAAUGGGCGCAAGCCUGACUCAGCAACGCCGCGUGGAUGAUGACGGCCUUCGGGUUGUAAAAUCCUUUUCUGAGGGAAGAUAAUGACGGUACCUCAGGAAUAAGUUCCGGCUAACUACGUGCCAGCAGCCGCGGUAAAACGUAGGGGACAAGCGUUAUCCGGAUUUACUGGGCGUAAAGCGCAUGUAGGUGGCUUGACAAGUUGGACGUGAAAGCUCCCGGCUUAACUGGGAGAGGUCGUUCAAAACUGGCAAGCUUGAGGUUGGAAGAGGAGAGCAGAAUUCCCGGUGUAGUGGUGGAAUGCGUAGAUAUCGGGAGGAAUACCAGUGGCGAAAGCGGCUCUCUGGUUCAAUACUGACACUGAGAUGCGAAAGCGUGGGGAGCGAACGGGAUUAGAUACCCCGGUAGUC
rnacentral:rRNA from 1 species